GGAAGAGGUGCCCAGGAUCUUCCAAGAAGAGGAAACAGGAUUUUCCCCAAGUCUUGCUCAAUCUAACGCAGGCCAUGGUCUGGUUCUGGCUUUAUUCAGUGACAUCUUCAUCCAUUGUUGAAAAUCAAGUGAUGGGAAAAAGGCUCUUCCUCAGCACAGGCUCUUGAGUCCUA